GGGAAUGUGGCUCAGGUGGUAGCGCGCUCGCCUGGCAUGCGUGCGGCCUGGGUUCGAUUCUCAGCACCA
rnacentral:tRNA from 1 species